rnacentral:rRNA from 1 species
UACGGAGGGGGUUAGCGUUGUUCGGAAUUACUGGGCGUAAAGCGCGCGUAGGCGGACAUUUAAGUCAGGGGUGAAAUCCCGGGGCUCAACCCCGGAACUGCCCUUGAUACUGGGUGUCUUGAGUUCGAGAGAGGUGAGUGGAAUUCCGAGUGUAGAGGUGAAAUUCGUAGAUAUUCGGAGGAACACCAGUGGCGAAGGCGGCUCACUGGCUCGAUACUGACGCUGAGGUGCGAAAGUGUGGGGAGCAAA